rnacentral:rRNA from 1 species
AUUCCAGCUCCGCAGGUGUAUAUCUAUGCUGCUGCGGUUAAAAAGCUCGUAGUUGGAUCUGCGUGCUCGGAACCGGUUGGCUCACUGAGUUCAAACUGGUCUCCGGCGCUUUAUUGGCUGGUUUUCCCUUGAUGCUCUUAACCGGGUGUCUUGGGUGGCUAGCACGUUUACUUUGAAAAAAUUAGAGUGCUCAAUACAGGCGCAAAGCCUUGAAUAGUGGUGCAUGGAAUAAUAGAAUAGGACCUCGGCUCUAUUUUGUUGGUUUUCGGAACGCGAGGUAAUGAUUAAGAGGGACAGACGGGGGCAUUCGUAUUGCGACGUUAGAGGUGAAAUUCUUGGAUCGUCGCAAGACGGACGACUGCGAAAGCAUUUGCCAAGAAUGUUUUCAUUAAUCAAGAACGAAAGUUAGAGGUUCGAAGGCGAUCAGAUACCGCCCUAGUUCUAACCGUAAACGAUGCCAACUAGCGAUCCGCAGGCGUUAAACAACGACCUUGCGGGCAGCUUCCCGGAAACGAAAGUGUUCGGGUUCCGGGGGAAGUAUGGUUGCAAAGCUGAAACUUAAAGGAAUUGACGGAAGGGCACCACCAGGAGUGGAGCCUGCGGCUUAAUUUGACCCAACACGGGAAAACUCACCCGGCCCGGACACCGUAAGGAUUGACAGAUUGAGAGCUCUUUCUUGAUUCGGUGGGUGGUGGUGCAUGGCCGUUCUUAGUUGGUGGAGCGAUUUGUCUGGUUUAUUCCGAUAACGAACGAGACUCUGGCCUACUAAAUAGUGGGCGGAUUCUUUCUGUCCGCAACACUUCUUAGAGGGACAAGCGGUGUUCAGCCGCACGAGAUUGAGCAAUAACAGGUCUGUGAUGCCCUUAGAUGUCCGGGGCUGCACGCGCGCUACACUGAAGGAAUCAGCGUGCUUUCUGACCUUGCCCGAAAGGGCUGGGUAACCCGAUGAAAAUCCUUCGUGAUUGGGAUAGGGACUUGCAAUUAUUUCCCUUGAACGAGGAAUUCCCAGUAAGUGUGGGUCAUAAGCUCGCGUUGAUUACGUCCCUGCCCUUUGUACACACCGCCCGUCGCUGCCCGGGACUGAGCCGUUUCGAGAAGAACAGGGACCGUCGUUGAAGGGCCCUAACGGGCUUUUCUCUGAUAGAAACUGUUUU